rnacentral:rRNA from 1 species
UACGUAGGGUGCAAGCGUUGUCCGGAAUUAUUGGGCGUAAAGAGCUCGUAGGUGGCCUGUCGCGUCGGCUGUGAAGACUCGGGGCUCAACUCCGAGCUUGCAGUCGAUACGGGCAGGCUAGAGUUCGGCAGGGGAGACUGGAAUUCCUGGUGUAGCGGUGAAAUGCGCAGAUAUCAGGAGGAACACCGGUGGCGAAGGCGGGUCUCUGGGCCGAUACUGACACUGAGGAGCGAAAGCGUGGGGAGCGAACAGG